GAUAAACGCUGGCGGCGUGCCUAACACAUGCAAGUCGAACGAUCCCGCAAGGGAGAGUGGCGGAAGGGUGAGUAACACGUGGGAAUCUACCUCCUCGCAGGGAACAACCUCUCGAAAGAGAGGCUAAUACCCAAAAGGGUCAGAAAUGAUCAGAGUCGAAAGGCGUGAGGAGAGGAGCCCGCGGCCCAUCAGCUAGUUGGUGAGGUAAUGGCUUACCAAGGCUACGACGGGUAGGGGAUCUGAGAGGAUGUCCCCCACACUGGAACUGAAACACGGUCCAGACGCCUACGGGUGGCAGCAGUGAGGAAUAUUGGACAAUGGGCGAAAGCCCGAUCCAGCAACGCCGCGUGGAGGAUGAAGGCCUCGGUCGGUAACGUUACUUUAGUAGGGAGACGAGAAAGGAAC
rnacentral:rRNA from 1 species